rnacentral:rRNA from 1 species
AAUCCCCACGUGUGGGGACCUGCCGGUACUGUACGAAUAAGCAUCGGCUAACUCCGUGCCAGCAGCCGCGGUAAUACGGAGGAUGCGAGCGUUAUCCGGAUUCAUUGGGUUUAAAGGGUGCGUAGGCGGCUUUUUAAGUCAGUGGUGAAAUCCUGCCGCUUAACGGUAGAACUGCCAUUGAUACUGAGAGGCUUGAGUCCAGUUGAGGUAAGCGGAAUGUGUAGUGUAGCGGUGAAAUGCUUAGAUAUUACACAGAACACCGAUUGCGAAGGCAGCUUACUAAACUGUCACUGACGCUGAUGCACGAAAGCGUGGGGAUCGAACAGGAUUAGAUACCCUGGUAGUCCACGCUGUAAACGAUGCUCACUCGCUGUAUGCGAUACACCGUAUGCGGCCAAGCGAAAGCAUUAAGUGAGCCACCUGGGGAGUACGAUCGCAAGGUUGA